GAGUGUGUAGCUCAGUGGUUACUUACUAAAGAGCGUUUGACUGCAGAUCAAUAUUGAUUGAAUGGUCGGGAGUUCGAAUAAUUCUCUCCACACUCU
rnacentral:tRNA from 1 species